ensembl:snoRNA
GCUGCAUCUGAUGAAAAUUUGGCUCCCUCUGCUGAAACAAAUGAGGAGAACAGCCUUAACCGUUACCCAAGUCUUCUGAGAUGUUGC